rnacentral:lncRNA from 1 species
GAGGAUCCCUUUUCCCCCAGAAAUUACUCAAUGCUGAAACCUCUCAAAGUGGUAUUAGAGACGCUGAAAGCACCAUGGACGGGUUUUAUGAUCAGCAAGUCCCUUUUAUGGUCCCAGGGCACAAGUUCCUGAUGAUGAACAGUUUGUCCCAGAUUUUCAGUCUGAUAACCAUUUCAGAGACAACUGUCUGAACCCUGCCACCCCUUCCCUCCUCAGCCAGGAGUUCCUGGAGAUAAUC